UUCGGGAACGUGGAACGACAGGUGGUGCGAUGGCGUGUCGUCAGCUCGUGUCGUGAGAUGUUGGGUUAAGUCCCGCAACGAGCGCAACCCUCGUCUUUAGUUGCCAUCAUUAAGUUGGGCACUCUAGAGAGACUGCCGUGGACAACACGGAGGAAGGUGGGGACGACGUCAAGUCAUCAUGCCCCUUACGUCUUGGGCUACACACGUCCUACAAUGCUACGGACAGAGGGCAGCAAGCUAGCGAUAGCAAGCAAAUCCCAUAAACCGUAGCUCAGUUCAGAUUGCAGGCUGCAACUCGCCUGCAUGAAGGCGGAAUCGCUAGUAAUCGCAGGUCAGCAUACUGCGGUGAAUACGUUCCCGGGCCUU
rnacentral:rRNA from 1 species